rnacentral:rRNA from 1 species
CCUACGGGUGGCAGCAGUGAGGAAUAUUGGUCAAUGGGCGCGAGCCUGAACCAGCCAAGUAGCGUGAAGGAUGACGGCCCUACGGGUUGUAAACUGCUUUUAUAAGGGAAUAAAAUGCGCCACGUGUGCCUUUUUGCAUGUACUUUAUGAAUAAGGAUCGGCUAACUCCGUGCCAGCAGCCGCGGUAAUACGGAGGGGCCGAGCGUUAUCCGGAUUUAUUGGGUUUAAAGGGAGCGUAGAGGGGUGGUCAAGUCAGUUGUGAAAGCUUGCGGCUCAACCGUAAAAGCGCAAUUGAUACUGGAGGACUUGAGUACAGAAGAGGCAGGCGGAAUUCGUGGUGUAGCGGUGAAAUGCUUAGAUAUCACGAAGAACCCCGAUUGCGAAGGCAGCUUGC